GAUGAACGCUGGCGGCGUGCCUAAUACAUGCAAGUCGAGCGGACAGAUGAGGGGCUUGUUCCUUUGACGUUAGCCGCGCACGGGUGAGAAACAUGUGGAUACUCUCCCUCAAAUAGUGAGAAAACUUCGGGACACCGGAGCAAAUCCCGGAGGAUCUAUUGAACCGUAUGGUUGAGUAAUGUAAGUCGGUUUUGCUUUCACUUGUAGAUUGUUCGGCGGCGCAUUAGCUAGUUGGUAAGGUAACGGCUUACCAAGGCACCGAUGCGUAGCCGACCUGAGAGGGUGAUCGGCCACACUGGAACUGGAACACGGUCCAGGCUCCGACGGGCGGCAGCGGUAGGGAAUCGUCCGAGAUGGGGGAAAGCCUGACGGAGCAACGCCACGUGAGUGAUGAGGGUCUUCGGAUCGUAAGACUCUGUUAUUGGGGAAGAACAAAUGUGUAAGUAACGAUGCACGUCGUGACGGUACCUGAUCAGAAAGCCACGGCUAACUACGUG
rnacentral:rRNA from 1 species